GGGGAAUAUUGGACAAUGGGGGAAACCCUGAUCCAGCAAUGCCGCGUGAGUGAAGAAGGCCUUAGGGUUGUAAAGCUCUUUCGCCCGUGACGAUGAUGACGGUAACGGGAGAAGAAGCCCCGGCUAAUUCCGUGCCAGCAGCCGCGGUAAUACGGAAGGGGCUAGCGUUGUUCGGAUUUACUGGGCGUAAAGCGCAUGUAGGCGGCGGAUCAAGUGGGGCGUGAAAGGCCUGGGCUCAACCUGGGAACUGCGCUUCAGACUGGUUCGCUCGAGUUCGGGAGAGGGUGGUGGAAUUCCCAGUGUAGAGGUGAAAUUCGUAGAUAUUGGGAGGAACACCGGCGGCGAAGGCGGCCACCUGGCCCGAGACUGACGCUCAAGUGCGAAAGCGUGGGGAGCAAAC
rnacentral:rRNA from 1 species